rnacentral:rRNA from 1 species
AACGAACGCUGGCGGCAUGCUUAACACAUGCAAGCCGAACGAGACCUUCGGGUCUAGUGGCGCACGGGUGCGUAACGCGUGGGAAUCUGCCCUUUGCUACGGAAUAACUCAGAGAAAUUUGUGCUAAUACCGUAUGAUGUCGUAAGACCAAAGAUUUAUCGGGAAAGGAUGAGCCCGCGUAGGAUUAGCUUGUUGGUGUGGUAAAGGCGCACCAAGGCGACGAUCCUUAGCUGGUCUGAGAGGAUGAUCAGCCACACUGGGACUGAGACACGGCCCAGACUCCUACGGGAGGCAGCAGUGGGGAAUAUUGGACAAUGGGCGAAAGCCUGAUCCAGCAAUGCCGCGUGAGUGAUGAAGGCCUUAGGGUUGUAAAGCUCUUUUACCAGGGAUGAUAAUGACAGUACCUGGAGAAUAAGCUCCGGCUAACUCCGUGCCAGCAGCCGCCGUAAUAC